CCUACGGGAGGCAGCAGUGGGGAAUAUUGGGCAAUGGGCGCAAGCCUGACCCAGCAACGCCGCGUGAAGGAAGAAGGCCCUCGGGUUGUAAACUUCUUUUAUCAGGGACGAAACACAUGACGGUACCUGAUUACUAAGCCACGCCUACCUACGUGCCAGCAGCCGCGGUACUACGUAGGUGGCAAGCGUUAUCCGGAUUUACUGGGUGUAAAGGGCGUGUAGGCGGGAGAGCAAGUCAGACGUGAAAUUCCAGGGCUCAACCCUGGAACUGCGUUUGAAACUGUUAGUCUUGAGUGAUGGAGAGGCAGGCGGAAUUCCGUGUGUAGCGGUGAAAUGCGUAGAUAUACGGAGGAACACCAGUGGCGAAGGCGGCCUGCUGGACAGUAACUGACGCUGAGGCGCGAAAGCGUGGGGAGCAAACAGGAUUAGAUACCCGAGUAGUC
rnacentral:rRNA from 1 species